GCCGGCAGCCAUAUCACCCUGUAGCCCAAGACUGGUUGCCCACUGAAGCUAAGCAGGGCUGAGCCUGGUCAGUACCUGGAUGGGAGACCUCCCGGGAAAACUAGGUUGCUGCUGGAA
rnacentral:rRNA from 1 species